UUGAGGCAAUUGUUGUGUUGUAAUUUUGAGAAAUGAUGCGGUGAAGGAAUGUCAUGUUGAUGACUUAAGUGGGGAUGAGGAUUUCAUUUGUGAAUUCUCGUUGUGUGAGUUUACGUUUGUGAUGAAAGGAUUUAGUGGCCAUAGGAAUGUAUUUUUAUACAAAGGGCUGUGGUUUUGUAGAUUACUACAGUUUUGGGAAAGAUGGAGAUUCGAUGGUUAGGUUAACUGUAAUCGAGAGCAAUUAACUUGCGCUUAAAUUUCGGGACGAAAUUUCUUUAAGGAGGGUAGAUUGUAAUAACCUAGUUUUUUUUAAUCAAACAAUUUGGUGGCAAACACCGGUUCCGUGAUUUAAGGUUAGUGGACAAUUGCAUAAUUUGAAGGCCGGUGCUUUAACAUGAUUAUGCAUGAGUGGAAGAACGAAUCAAUUAAGCUAAGAAACGAAUUCUCUCUCUCUCACGUCCGAAACCACCCAAAACAGAGCAAAACUUCUCCAAACUCUCUCUCACUCCACCGGCCACCAAUCAAGACCAGAACACUUCCUAUAGCUUCGCCUCGACCUUGCGCAGCUGCAGGUGGCAGCCUUGAACCACGACACGGCCACCAGCGGCGGCGGGAAGCUCCGCCCGGUUUGAGCUCGUUUUGGUUCCAAGCUUGAUAUCUCAAGCUACCGGCCAACAAUCCUCACCAAACUUCACCCACGAGCUCGCCUCAACGUCCUGAAGCUCCCAGAAGUGGCCUUGCACGGCGGCGCUACUCGUGGUGGCGGCUGGAAGCCAGACCCGAUCAAAUCGAAAACCGAAGCUUCGAUCGGUAUAUCUCGAGCUGUAGUGCAUCGUUUUGAUUGAUUCUUUUUCCAGUGGGUUCCCCUUGAUGUUGUUAACAACUCUCUAGAAGGCAUCGAGGCCUGAAAUUGAAGUUUUUACGUCGAUCGGAGCCCUCGCCGGAUUCUGCAAAAUUCUGCAAAUUUUCCGACCACCGAAGCUUUCGAUCGGUAUAUCUCGAGCUACAGACCAUAUUUUUCUGUGAUUCUUGAACCAAUGCGUUCGUCUUGAGUUUCUUAACAACUCUCUAGAAGGAAUCGAAGCCUGAAAUUGAAGUUUUGACGUCGAAAUCAAGCCUUGCCGGAUUCUGCAAAUUUCGCCGGAUUCUGGAAAUUUUCCGGCCACCUCGACUGUUCUAGGUUAUUGACGGUUUGAGUUGGUGGACGAUUGUGGAUCGUAUUUUGAGCUGAAUUGAAGACGCAGCGGGAUUAUCGAGCGGGAAAUCCUACAGGUCAGGAGAACCAGGACGGUGAUCGGGCUGCUUAGAGUAGUGUUAUGUGAAUUACAGCAUUAUAUUGUGAGGUUUGUUAUGCUCAUUUAGAGCUUUGCAAUUUUACUUUGUAAGAGUGAAUUGUAAUAAUUAACUCGAGGUUUUCGAGUUUUUGUGUUGAGUGGCGAGUGGUAUGUUUGUUUGUGAGAAAAAAAUUCAGAACGUUAUUUGUAUUAAUUGUUUAUUCAUG